CGACGGUAAGCAAACCCCAAAAAUAAUCGUCCCAGUUCGGACUGUAGUCUGCAACCCGACUACACGAAGCCGGGAUCGCUAGUAAUCGCGAAUCAGAAUGUCGCGGUGAAUACGUUCCCGGGUCUUGUACACACCGCCCGUCACACCAUGGGAGUCGGAAAUGCCCGAAGUCAGUGACCUAACCGAAAGGAGGGAGCUGCCGAAGGUGGAGCCGGUAACUGGGGUGAAGUCGUAACAAGGUAAC
rnacentral:rRNA from 1 species